rnacentral:tRNA from 3 species
GGUUUGGUGGUCUAGUAGUAUGAUUCACCCUUAGGGGCUUCCCUCCGCAGUGGGGGCUUGUCUGGGUGAGGUCCCGGGUUCAAUUCCCGGCCAGACCC